CCCCUAGAUGUUCUGGGCCGCACGCGCGCUACACUGAACAGUUCAACAAGUAUUAACCUUGGCCGAUAGGUCUGGGUAAUCUUUGAACGCUGUUCGUGAUUGGGAUAGACCUUUGCAAUUAUGGGUCUUCAACGAGGAAUUCCUAGUAAACGCAAGUCAUCAGCUUGCAUUGAUUACGUCCCUGCCCUUUGUACACACCGCCCGUCGCACCUACCGAUUGAAUGGUCCGGUGAAAUCUCGGGACGGCGGCUUGGUCGCUUGCGUCCGACUGCUGAAACUUGAUUAAACCAUAUCAUUUAGAGGAAGGUGAANUCGUAACA
rnacentral:rRNA from 1 species